AGGGGCCUCUCGAUAGCUGCCUCAUAGAAGGCGAUCCCCGUCGGUGUCCCUCCAAGCCCAGUGACAUGCCUGAUGUCCCCUGAAAGACUGCCUUGCCUGGAAUACAGUGACCACCUCAUGCCUCGGGAAAACUGUAGAUGGGGGCGUUAGGGUUGGAAAAAAUACUAGGAGGCCCAAGUUCCAUCCCUGGUCAGGGAACCAGAUCCCACAUGCUGCAAGUGAUCCUUUGUGCUCAACUAAGACCUGUGGCAGCCAGAUAACGGCACGUCUGACUUGUGUCCAGUGGCCCGAGGCGAGAGAAGUCAGCUCGGCAGGAGUCCCAGGGUCUGGAGGAAGCUGUCCUGGCGCUGGUUCCUCCUGCUGGAACCCGGGGAAAAGCGGCCGGCUGUGGGACCAGGACCCGACUCGGUCCCUACUAUAAAAUGGAUUUCCAAUGAACCUGUCUCAAAGGACUAGGUGAAAUCAUGGGAGAAUGAAUCAUCUUGAAGAGGGCAAGUCUUUGAUCUGACAGUAAAUGGUAAAUAUCCGAACAGCAAAGA